GGUUACCCCCAGCUCGGUGUGAGGCAGGAGGAGGGUGGAAGGAUGACGAUGGGGCAAGGCAAGCAGGCUCUUCUGAUUAACUCACUUCUCAUUCACCUCUUGGCCUCAUCAGAAGCGAAGUUCUUCCACAUCAUCACCCUCUGGGAUCCUUUUUAUAGCCCAGCAACUGCUUGGGCUGUGAAUCCAGGGGGUCUGACUUUCCAGAGGAUGAGGAGGAAGCUGCUGUCCCCAGGAGAUGCUGACCCUCCUCACCCAGCCAGCAGAGACAUCCACAGGAGGUUUCACCUCCCAGAGGAUAAGGAGGAAGCUGCUGUCCCCAGGAGAUGCUGACCCUCCUCACCCAGCCAGCAGAGACAUCCACAGGAGGUUUCACCUCCCAGAGGAUGAGGAGGAAGCUGCUGUCCCCAGGAGAUGCUGACCCUCCUCACCCAGCCAGCAGAGACAUCCACAGGAGGUUUCACCUCCCAGAGGAUGAGGAGGAAGCUGCUGUCCCCAGGAACAUCCCAUCCCAUUGGAGAAGAACUACAGGCUCUGAGGCACCUCUUAGUAGCUCAAAUUAGCCUUCAGUGCCUCAGCCACCAGGGACAUUAAAGGUGACCUUGAGAC